AGUGAACGCUGGCGGCAGGCCUAACACAUGCAAGUCGAACGGCAGCACAAGAGAGCUUGCUCUCUGGGUGGCGAGUGGCGGACGGGUGAGGAAUGCAUCGGAAUCUGCCCAUUUGUGGGGGAUAACCUCGGGAAACCGGGACUAAUACCGCAUACGACCUACGGGUGAAAGCAGGGGAUCUUCGGACCUUGCGCAGAUGGAUGAGCCGAUGCCGGAUUAGCUAGUUGGAGGGGUAAAGGCCCACCAAGGCGACGAUCCGUAGCUGGUCUGAGAGGAUGAUCAGCCACACUGGGACUGAGACACGGCCCAGACUCCUACGGGAGGCAGCAGUGGGGAAUAUUGGACAAUGGGCGCAAGCCUGAUCCAGCCAUGCCGCGUGUGUGAAGAAGGCCUUCGGGUUGUAAAGCACUUUUGUUUGGGAAAGAAAAGCAGCCGGUUAAUACCCGGUUGUCAUGACGGUACCCAAAGAAUAAGCACCGGCUAACUUCGUG
rnacentral:rRNA from 1 species